GACGAACGCUGGCGGCGUGCUUAACACAUGCAAGUCGAACGGAAAGGCCCUGCUUUCGUGGGGUGCUCGAGUGCCGAACGGGUGAGUAACACGUGAGUAACCUGCCCUUGUCUUUGGGAUAACUUCAGGAAACUGGGGUUACUACCGUAUAGGAGCUCCUGUUCCAGGGUGGGGGUUGGAAAGUUUCGGCGGUUGGGGAUGAACGCGCGGCUUAGGAGCUUGUUGGUGGGGUAGUGGCUUACCAAGGCUUGGACGGGUAGCCGGCCUGGGAGGGUGACAGGGCACAUUGGGACUGAGGUACGGCCAAGAGGCAUACGGGAGGAAGGAGUGGAGGCUAGAGCAAGAUAGGCCGAGUCGUGAAGGAGCAACGCCGCGUGCGAGAUGACGGCUUUCGGGUUGGAAACCGCUUUCGCUUGUACCGAAGCGUGAGUGCGGGUAAUGGAGAAAGAAGAACCGCUAACCUCGGU
rnacentral:rRNA from 1 species